UAAGUUAUAAUAGCCCCGAGAUAAAUUAUGGGGUUAUUUUUUCUCAUAUUUAGUUGAUGGAAUUGUCAUACCCUAUUUUACCUAAAGUCAAAACGAGUACGACGUUAUGGACUCUAAAAGAAUGAAAAUUUGUAAAGAGUCACCACCUAAUUUUUAAGAAAAAUAAGGAAAACUUUUUUAUUUAUUAGCAUUGUGAUUAGUGUUUUUAGUCUGCGAAAAAACAAUUGAGAUUCUAAGUAAGGGUUCCAAUUAUUUCAAAGGGAAGGGGUUAGGUAUCCUUCAGAAUCCACAAGUGUGGUACCCGGCUAGACUAAAUUUAUCAAAGAGGGAUGAGGUAUAAAUAAUGUAAAGUUGUAUAAGUAUAAAAUAAUUCUUCUAAAUAUUUAAAACUAUGUAAAUGUAUAUGUAUGUUAAAUAUAUAAAGAAAACAUAUUGUUAUGAAACACAGGUGAAAGAUAUGUAUAAAAAUGUAUAAAUUAUAUGUGAAAAGAAAAAAUAUUUUGUGACAUGUAUUGAAAAGAAGUGUAUCUUGAUAUGCCCAUGAGGAGAAAAAUAUUUAAAAAUAAUAUUUUUUACUUGAUUUAAAAUUUAUAAAAAAAAGUAAAGAUUUAGUUAAACGCGAGGUGAAGUUGUAUAAAUAAAAUCUCGCCCAACACCACAAAAAUAAAGUUUUUAUUAUAAUAACAUUUGUACAAAUAUAAAAAUAUAAAAUACAAUACAAAAUUAAAAAGGCCUCUUUAAAUGCAGCUCCCGACGAGUAUUGCAAAUAACCUGUAUAAAUAGGUGUAAAAAAUGUUAGUAACGAAUAAAUAAUAAUCAAAAUAAAUCAAACAAGUAUGUGUGUAUAUAAAUAUUUAAAAAUAUAUUUUUUAUUAAAAAGUGGGUUUAGAUGAAGUCAUAGUUGCAAAAUGGUUGUUCAAUUAAUUGACAGUCUUAAAUCAUUUUACUACGAAGUGAUUGCUCAAUUAAUUUAGUCAAAAUAUGAAUUAUAAAAUUUUGUGUUGUUAUAAAAUUUUGUAUCACCCAAAAAAUAUUUAUUUAUUACAUAUUUGCAUACGUAAAGUCUGUCUUUUAUCUAUGGAGGCCUUAAAAUUAAUAGUAAUUUUUUAUUGGCCAAAAUGUGUAGUAUCUGUUCAUUGUAUCAGUCAAAUAUAUUCAGAUAAUCAAUAAAAGGGUAAAAUGCAAAAAUAUGUAAAUAUAGUAAUAGAGUAAUGUAGGACCAUGUAAAAAUGCCAAAAAGUCUAUCAAUUUUUGAACAAAACAAGGGGUCACCCCAAUAUCCAAAUCAGUAGUAUUAAAUAGAGCAAACAGAAUGAGUCGAAAGAAAAACAUAGCUGGCAAUCAUAAAUCAUCCCCAAUCAAGCAUGUUCAUUCAAGAAUCAACACCUCCACAGAUAAUUCAAAAUCAACAAAUAAAAUCAAGGAUCCAAAAGUAGAGGAAAAAAAUGUUAGAGCACCAUAAACGACCCAAAUCCACAAAAUAAGCAAGUUAUUAAGCGGAUAGAAGACUGAAAAAUGAAGGUUGGCGUUACUUCAACGGCUUAUGCCGGAGUAACGCCGAAACCCAGAUUCCGACCAGAUCUAGCCAUUUUUUGAUGUGGCAGUGGUGGUGUCGCCGGCCAUGGCUGUUGAUCCAGCUGUUUUACCGGCAGAGAUGUAUGAAGAGGAGAUCCGAGAAGCGGCUGUUUUAUCGACGAGAGGUAUUAUGCGACAGUGAUGUUUAUAGCGUGUAAGGGAGAGAAGAAAGCAUGAGAUGAGAUCUGUUUUUUUUUUGUUCUACUCCCUGAGUAUGUGAUGUGCAAAUUGUAUUAAAGUAUGUGAUUAUUUUUAGAGAAAAGAAAGAGUAAUGUGUGUGUCUUGAGAGUGCAUAAAAAUCUGUGUAUAUGUUUUUUGAAUGAAGAAGAAAAAAAAUAGAUUCUGUGUAUUCUGUAAUAUGUGAGGGUGAUUGUAUAUUGUUGUUCUGUCUUAAAAAUGGUUCCCCCGGUGAAUAGAUGAUAGCAUGACUAUUUAUUUUGUGAAGAAUAAUAAUGUCAAAUAUGGAGGGUGUAUUGUGAAGAAAAAUGUCAAAUGUAACCGUUUGAAAUUGACAGUGAACGUUGCAAAAGCUGAUUAAUAGUAAAUUAGCAGAUUUUCUUUGAUUUCAUUUGACAUGUGCACUAUUUAACAAAUAAAUUAAAAGACAUCUUUUUUCUUGAAAUGAUAUAAAGAAAAAAAGUAAAAAACUCUACUUUUGCAUUAAAAAUCUUUGAAAGAGAAGAUAUGCAACAACGGAUCUUUUGCUUAAAAGUUUAAAACUUUUUGCUUAAAGUCUUAACACAUUAUUGCAAGUAGUAUUCAUAUUCUUACCAAUUUAUUAUUUGAAUCCUUUCUGAUCUUAAAUUGAUUCUUUUGAGCUUCUAAUUUAAUAGCUAGCUUAAUACAUAUUAAAUAAUAAUAGGAAAAAAU
rnacentral:lncRNA from 1 species